CCUACGGGUGGCAGCAGUGGGGAAUAUUGCACAAUGGGGGGAACCCUGAUGCAGCGACGCCGCGUGAGUGAAGAAGUAUUUCGGUAUGUAAAGCUCUAUCAGCAGGGAAGAAAAUGACGGUACCUGACUAAGAAGCCCCGGCUAACUACGUGCCAGCAGCCGCGGUAAUACGUAGGGGGCAAGCGUUAUCCGGAUUUACUGGGUGUAAAGGGAGCGUAGACGGUGCGGCAAGUCUGAGGUGAAAGGUAGGGGCUUAACCCCGGGACUGCAUUGGAAACUGUUGAACUGGAGUGCAGGAGAGGUAAGUGGAAUUCCUAGUGUAGCGGUGAAAUGCGUAGAUAUUAGGAGGAACACCAGUGGCGAAGGCGGCUUACUGGACUGUAACUGACGUUGAGGCUCGAAAGCGUGGGGAGCAAACAGGAUUAGAUACCCGAGUAGUC
rnacentral:rRNA from 1 species